rnacentral:rRNA from 1 species
GGACCCGCACAAGCGGUGGAGCAUGUGGUUUAAUUCGAUGCAACGCGAAGAACCUUACCUGGCCUUGACAUCUACGGAACCCUGCAGAGAUGUGGGGGUGCCUUCGGGAACCGUAAGACAGGUGCUGCAUGGCUGUCGUCAGCUCGUGUCGUGAGAUGUUGGGUUAAGUCCCGCAACGAGCGCAACCCUUGUCCUUAGUUGCCAUCAUUCAGUUGGGAACUCUAAGGAGACCGCCGGUGACAAACCGGAGGAAGGUGGGGAUGACGUCAAGUCAUCAUGGCCUCCAUGGCCAGGGCUACACACGUGCUACAAUGGCAGGUACAGAGGGAAGCCAACGCGCGAGCGGGAGCCAAUCCCAGAAAGCCUGUCGUAGUCCGGAUCGGAGUCUGCAACUCGACUCCGUGAAGUCGGAAUCGCUAGUAAUCGCAGAUCAGCAUUGCUGCGGUGAAUACGUUCCCGGGUCUU